rnacentral:rRNA from 1 species
GACGAACGCUGGCGGCGUGCUUAACACAUGCAAGUCGAACGGAAAGGCCCUGCUUUUGUGGGGUGCUCGAGUGGCGAACGGGGGAGUAACACGUGAGUAACCUGCCCUUGACUUUGGGAUAACUUCAGGAAACUGGGGCUAAUACCGUAUAGGAGCUCCUGUUCCAUGGUGGGGGUUGGAAAGUUUCGGCGGUUGGGGAUGGAUGCGCGGCUUAUCAGCUUGUUGGUGGGGUAGGGGCUUACCAAGGCUUUGACGGGUAGCCGGCCUGGGAGGGUGACCGGCCACAUUGGGACUGAGAUACGGCCCAGAGUGCUACGGUGGGCAGCAGUGGGGAAUAUUGCCCAAUGGGCGGAAGCCUGAUGCGGCAGCGCCGCGUGCGGGAUGACGGCCUUCGGGUUGUAAACCGCUUUCGCCUGUGACGAAGCGUGAGUGACGGUAAUGGGUAAAGAAGCACCGGCUAACUACGUG